UACGAAGGGGGCUAGCGUUGUUCGGAAUUACUGGGCGUAAAGCGUGCGCAGGCGGCUUCUCAAGUCAGGGGUGAAAUCCUGGAGCUCAACUCCAGAACUGCCUUUGAUACUGAGGAUCUUGAGUUCGGGAGAGGUGAGUGGAACUGCGAGUGUAGAGGUGAAAUUCGUAGAUAUUCGCAAGAACACCAGUGGCGAAGGCGGCUCACUGGCCCGAUACUGACGCUGAGGCACGAAAGCGUGGGGAGCAAACAGG
rnacentral:rRNA from 1 species